CGAAAAUUCUCUUAAGAAGACUUGCUUGGCUAGCGGUUUAAUCACCAAGUUGCCCCAAAGCAACCUCGCACAAACCAAAUCAUCCCAUUUCCCGCAUGAUAGAAAAAUACAGUCUUGACUCUUGCGAUAGUGUUUCUGUGUUCUACAUAAUUGUAUCCGUCUAUCUCGCGAACAUGUCUGACUUGGCCAAGGAGCAUUUUGUGGCAACAGUCAUUGAAGAUCAUGAGGCAGCAUGCUGGGGUUGUGGACUACACCUUCUUCUUCCAUCUUAUUCACCUAUUUUUAAAUGUGGCUGGUGUGGAGCAAUAACAACUCAAAAUGAAGGAAAACGUGAGAACAAGUUUCUUUGGUGGAGACUUGUGCGUGACCGGUGCUUCGUAUGUGUCCUCCUCGGCUACAUGCUUUUUGUAAUAUGUGGUGGUGUGUGGGCAGUGUACCCUGUUGUUUUCUCCAUCAGCUAUUUCUGUGGAAUUUUCCACCUCAGCAUAACUUUGAUCUUGUCUAUAGUUACUAUUUCAAUGUUUAGUCUUGCGGCCUUUAGAUGUCCUGGAACACCACCUAUCAUACAGUGGGGUAGCUACCCAGUUGUGGGAAAAGGUUACCUUGAGAAUUACACCUUCUGUCACUAUUGUUCAAAGCCAAAAUCGCCUAGAACCCAUCACUGCCGUUCAUGUGGAAUGUGUAUAUUGGACAUGGAUCAUCACUGCCCUUUUAUUGGAAAUUGCGUGGGUGCAGCAAAUCACCGGUACUUUAUCGCCUUCCUUAUCUCAGCUGUUGUCAGCACAAUAUAUGUUUCAAUCAUGUCCUCAUUUGCAGUGUGGUGUAUAUGGCCACCAUUACCAACCAGAUCUCUAGUCUAUUUAAGUGGGACGCACAGUUAUUUGGCUUGGAGAAUAUUGAAGGAACUUAUUUUUGCAUCGCUAAGCUCUGCACUACUUCUUUCCUCAAGGGGGCUUGUUCUUGUUUAUUUGUUUUUUUCUAGUGUUUCAGUGGAGAUAGGAUUAACCGUGCUUCUGUUGCAGCAGCUUUGUUACAUAUACAAGGGGAAAACUUAUUUAAGCCACUUGAAUUCUCAAGGAGGUGAUGAGGUUGGAGAAAAAGAUUGCAAAAAUCUUUUACGUUUCUUUGGUUGCCCAUAUUCUGUGUCAAGAUACUUGCCUAAUGUUUGGAAUUCUCCUAAGAGACACAAUAAGUGAAUGACUGUUUAAAGAAUAUCAUCUUUGCUUUUACUUGAUAAUUUAGUCUAAGGCUCUUUUUACCUGUUAAAAGUGUUUCUAAAUUAAUCUCCUGUGUCAUGGGAAACCUCUGCCGCAAAGUUGGUGUCAUGACUGACGACAUUGCUGCAACUGAAUUGUGGUGCAUAGCCAUUUUUGUAUGAUCAAAGUGUAGGAAAAAAGACGGGGAAGUUCAACUGAACUGUAGUGCAUGCUUAUUGUUGGUCUCACCAGUUUCCUGAUCUCGGUGGAAAACAGAACCAUUGGGUUGAAACGAGGGAUUCAAAACAUGUAGGAGCCGUUGAAAUGCUUAAAAGCUUGGCCCCUGUCUCUCCCUCUCUUUUAUUUAUUUAUUUAUUUGUAUGAAGAUGUACUUUAAUUUGUUUUUAUUUUACUUAUUUCAAUACAACUUCUAAAAUAAAACUUAAUAAUAGAGAAUGAAAAAGAGAUAUUGCAUAAUUUAUAAGAAAUUGUGUAGUUUAUGCUUG
rnacentral:misc_RNA from 1 species